GUCUUGUGUAUAGUUCGGUCAGACCUAAAAAGAGUGUCUUAGGGUGUUAUUUUCUCUCCUUACUAUAUAAGGAUAAGAAACACUUGUAAGAGGUAGCUUUGAAUCUAAAUUUUCAGAAUUCUUUUCAUACCUUUGGCGUGUAUUGCUUUGAGUGAGAGUGAGGAUUUGCUUUCAUCAAUUGCAUCAGGAACCUUGGCUUACUUAUCAACUAUU
rnacentral:lncRNA from 1 species